rnacentral:rRNA from 1 species
CGAAUGCUGACAUAAGUAACGAUAAAGCGGGUGAAAAGCCCGCUCGCCGGAAGACCAAGGGUUCCUGUCCAACGUUAAUCGGGGCAGGGUGAGUCGACCCCUAAGGCGAGGCCGAAAGGCGUAGUCGAUGGGAAACAGGUUAAUAUUCCUGUACUUGGUGUUACUGCGAAGGGGGGACGGAGAAGGCUAUGUUGGCCGGGCGACGGUUGUCCCGGUUUAAGCGUGUAGGCUGGUUUUCCAGGCAAAUCCGGAAAAUCAAGGCUGAGGCGUGAUGACGAGGCACUACGGUGCUGAAGCAACAAAUGCCCUGCUUCCAGGAAAAGCCUCUAAGCAUCAGGUAACAUCAAAUCGUACCCCAAACCGACACAGGUGGUCAGGUAGAGAAUACCAAGGCGCUUGAGAGAACUCGGGUGAAGGAACUAGGCAAAAUGGUGCCGUAACUUCGGGAGAAGGCACGCUGAUAUGUAGGUGAAGCG